rnacentral:rRNA from 1 species
GACAGAGGGGGCAAGCGUUGUCCGGAUUGACUGGGCGUACAGCGCGCGCAGACGGCACGGUAUGUGCCCGGUGACAUCCUACGGCUUAACCGUGGGCGGCCCGGGUAGACAGCCGUGCUUGAGACAGGGAGAGGGUCGUGGAAUGCCCGGUGGAGCGGUGAAAUGCGUAGAGAUCGGGCGGAACACCAGCGGCGAAGGCGGCGACCUGGCCCUGGACUGACGUUGAGGCGCGAAAGCGUGGGGAGCGAACGGG